UACGUAGGGGGCAAGCGUUGUCCGGAAUCAUUGGGCGUAAAGAGCGUGUAGGCGGCCCGAUAAGUCCGCUGUGAAAGUCCAGGGCUCAACCCUGGAAUGCCGGUGGAUACUGUCGGGCUCGAGUCCGGAAGAGGUGAGUGGAAUUCCUGGUGUAGCGGUGAAAUGCGCAGAUAUCAGGAGGAACACCAGCGGCGAAGGCGGCGCUCUGGGCUGGAACUGACGCUGAGGAGCGAAAGCGUGGGGAGCGAACAGG
rnacentral:rRNA from 1 species